rnacentral:snRNA from 1 species
CUGUUCACUUAGGCAGCACGUACACUAAAACUGGAACGAUACAGAGAAGAUUAGCAUGCCCCUGCACAAGGAUGACACACAGAUUUGUGAAGCGUUUCAUAUUUCU